rnacentral:rRNA from 1 species
CGACCACGAGACCGAUAGCGGACAAGUACCGUGAGGGAAAGUUGAAAAGAACUUUGAAGAGAGAGUUCAAUAGUACGUGAAACCGUUCGGGGGUAAACGGACAGAGCCCGUGAAUCCGGGCGUGUGGAAUUCAGGACCGACGGGCGGGCCUUCGGGUUCGUUCGUCGAUUCGAUAUUUCCGCCGUCGACCCUCAACCGAGGGUGUCGGACGUCGCGACCCGUUCGCCGAAGCCGAUGCUGAGGGGUGCGUUUCAAGUUCGCCUGCGCGGCCGUUUCGGCGGUCGUGCGACGAUGACGCGCUUCCGCUGUCCAUCGGUGCGGACGGUAGCUUUGCGCGCGGGUAUUCGAUGCAGCCCUUGCCCGUCGUCUCGUACGUCGGGCGGUGCUCGCAUCGACGCCGGUCAGCGACGAAUCUUCGGGCCUCUUUCCGACCCGUCUUGAAACACGGACCAAGGAGUCUAGCGUGCGCGCGAGUCGCGGGGUAUCCGAGUCGUUGUAGUCGUUUCGGCGGCGAACGCGACUCGUCACGAUACGAAACCCGUGUACGUACGUUGUGCGAAGGCGUAAUGAAAGUGAAAGGUGGCGCUUCGCGCGUCACCGGGGGAAGACGGUGUUCCGAGUUCACGUUUCGCAAACAUAUAUGUUUUGCGGCCGGACACCCGCAUUCCCAGGGCGUCCCUCUCGUACGUCGGUGGUCGGAGUUCGCGCUUCGAUCGUCGACGAACUGGGGCGCACCUACAGCGUGCACGCUGGUACCCGAAAGAUGGUGAACUAUGCCCGGCCAGGAUGAAGUCAGGGGAAACCCUGAUGGAGGUCCGCAGCGAUUCUGACGUGCAAAUCGAUCGUCUGAGCUGGGUAUAGGGGCGAAAGACUAAUCGAACCAUCUAGUAGCUGGUUCCCUCCGAAGUUUCCCUCAGGAUAGCUGGCGUCGGGAACGAAUCGAGGGUCGAUCGUGUUCGCACGGUCGACUCGUCGUCGUGGCUGUCUCAUCCGGUAAAGCGAAUGAUUAGAGGCAUUGGGGUCGAAACGACCUCAACCUAUUCUCAAACUAUAAACGGGCGAGAUCGUGGGCUUUCCUGAUAAGCGACGUCACUCGUGGCGUUGCGCAGCGAGAGAAUCGUCGGUUCGUGCGCUUUCGGGCGUACGCGGCCGGCGGUGCGAAGCCCACGACGGAACCAUUGACGCUCAGUGGGCCAUUUUUGGUAAGCAGAACUGGCGCUGCGGGAUGAACCGAACGUCGAGUUAAGGCGCCCAAAUCGACGCGAAUUUCAGAGCCCAUAAAAGGCGUUGGUCGCUGAUGACAGCAGGACGGUGGCCAUGGAAGUCGGAAUCCGCUAAGGAGUGUGUAACUACUCACCUGCCGAAGCAACUAGCUCUGAAAAUGGAUGGCGCUGGAGCGUCGUGCCUAUACUCGGCCGUCAGCGGCAGUGUGGGCUGGGGUGGCGCGAGCGCCGCUCCCAGACCCGGUAUGCCCUGACGAGUAGGAGGGCGCGGCGGUGCGCGCAGAAGGGAAGACCGCGAGGUCGCCUGGACAGAUCUUGGUGGUAGUAGCAAAUACUCGAGAGGGGUCCUCGGGGGCUGCCGUGGAGAAGGGUUUCUUGUGAACAGCCGUUGUCCAAGAGUCAGUCGAUCCUAAGCCCGGGGAGAAAUCCUGUACCCAAUGUAACGAUGACGAGCGUCGUGUCCGCCUCGCGAGCUAGCUCAUGGCAAAGCCGGAGGCAGAAACGGGAACGCCGCCGUAGUCGUCGAUGAUUAUCGAAUCUCGAAGCGCCUCGCGCACGGGCCCUAUCGAACUCUGACGGGUUUUGAUGAACCGUGGUCCGUGCAUCGUAAGACGAGUGCGACUUCGUAUACGAUUCGGCCCUCGUCUAUGCGUCGAACGUGAGGGCGGUCGUCGACGGCGUUCUUGAAAGAGCGCGGCGUACUCCCCGGCCACCGUAACCUGGCGAAGCUCAGCGUUUUGCGGCAUCGACGUGCUCGAUCGUACGUCGGGCGAAAGGGAAUCCGGUCCGUAUUCCGGAACCCGGCGCGGAACCGCUCCCUAGUGUUCGGGGCCCUUAAACGCGCAACGUCGGCGUCUCGUGCGUCGCGUUGUCGUGUGCCUCGUCCGGGUAACCGGAAUGAACCCGGAGAAGCCGCCGGGGGAUCCGGGAAGAGUUCUCUUUUCUCUGUGAGCGUUGUACGUCCCUGGAAUCCGCUAGCCGGGAGAUAGGGACGCGAGCGCGAAGAGCACCGCUCGCUGCGGCGGUGUCCGUGAUCCCCACGCGGACCGUGAAAAUCCGGGAGAGGGCCACGCGGAGUCUUCGCGCCGGUUCGUACCGAUAUCCGCAGCAGGUCUCCGAGGUGAGCAGCCUCUAGCCGCAUAGAAUAAUGUAGGUAAGGGAAGUCGACAAAAUCGAUCCGUAACUUCGGGAUAAGGAUUGGCUCUGAGGAGCGUGGCGGCUCGGGUUCGGGUCGUGCAGAAGCGGAGACAGGAUCUGACGGCGCCUUGCCGUUCGAAACUGCGACCUCGUGGUGCUUCGGUAUCGCGACGGUUGCGGCGUACGGGCGGCAGUGGGAUGUUCGUCGCCUGUCCUCCGUGGAACCCCCGAGCUUCGUGCUUCGGUCGUAUUCGGCGGAGUUGUGCGAUCAGCGGCUCGCCGUUCACACGGUGGGCGGCGUCGUGCGCUUCGUCGAGCCAGCGGCCGUCGACACGGGUCGACCGCCAUGUAACGGUCAGCUCAGAACUGGCACGGACUAGGGGAAUCCGACUGUCUAAUUAAAACAAAGCAUCGCGAUGGCCCUCGCGGGUGUUGACGCGAUGUGAUUUCUGCCCAGUGCUCUGAAUGUCAACGUGAAGAAAUUCAAGCAAGCGCGGGUAAACGGCAGGAGUAACUAUGACUCUUUUAAGGUAGCCAAAUGCCUCGUCA